GAUAGUGUCGCCGAGUGGUCUAUGGCGCUGGUUUUAGGCACCAGUCUCUUCGGAGGCAAGGGUUCGAAUCCCUUCACUGUCA
rnacentral:tRNA from 1 species